UACGGGGGGUGCGAGCGUUGUUCGGAUUUACUGGGCGUAAAGGGCGCGUAGGCGGUAGCACAAGUCAGUUGUGAAAUCUCCGGGCUUAACUCGGAAAGGUCAACUGAUACUGUGCAACUAGAGUACGGAAGAGGCGAGUGGAAUUCCUGGUGUAGCGGUGGAAUGCGCAGAUAUCAGGAGGAACACCAAUAGCGAAGGCAGCUCGCUGGGACGUUACUGACACUGAGGCGCGAAAGCGUGGGGAGCGAACAGG
rnacentral:rRNA from 1 species